rnacentral:rRNA from 1 species
GACGAACGCUGGCGGCGUGCUUAACACAUGCAAGUCGAGCGGAAAGGCCCUUCGGGGUCCUCGAGCGGCGAACGGGUGAGUAACACGUGAGUAACCUGCCCCAGACUUUGGGAUAACCCUCGGAAACGGGGGCUAAUACCGGAUACGACACAGCUUCGCAUGGGGUCUGUGUGGAAAGUUUUUCGGUUUGGGAUGGGCUCGCGGCCUAUCAGCUUGUUGGUGGGGUGAUGGCCUACCAAGGCGACGACGGGUAGCCGGCCUGAGAGGGCGACCGGCCACACUGGGACUGAGACACGGCCCAGACUCCUACGGGAGGCAGCAGUGGGGAAGAUUGCACAAUGGGCGGAAGCCUGAUGCAGCGACGCCGCGUGAGGGAUGACGGCCUUCGGGGUGUAAACCUCUUUCAGCAGGGACGAAGCGUAAGUGACGGUACCUGCAGAAGAAGCGCCGGCCAACUACGUG